CCUACGGGCGGCAGCAGUGAGGAAUAUUGGUCAAUGGACGAGAGUCUGAACCAGCCAAGUAGCGUGAAGGAUGACUGCCCUAUGGGUUGUAAACUUCUUUUAUAUGGGAAUAAAACGUUCCACGUGUGGGAUUUUGUAUGUACCAUAUGAAUAAGGAUCGACUAACUCCGUGCCAGCAGCCGCGGUAAUACGGAGGAUCCGAGCGUUAUCCGGAUUUAUUGGGUUUAAAGGGAGCGUAGGUGGAUUGUUAAGUCAGUUGUGAAAGUUUGCGGCUCAACCGUAAAAUUGCAGUUGAAACUGGCAGUCUUGAGUACAGUAGAGGUGGGCGGAAUUCGUGGUGUAGCGGUGAAAUGCUUAGAUAUCACGAAGAACUCCGAUUGCGAAGGCAGUUCACUGGACUGCAACUGACACUGAGGCUCGAAAGUGUGGGUAUCAAACAGGAUUAGAUACCCCUGUAGUC
rnacentral:rRNA from 1 species